rnacentral:rRNA from 1 species
UACGGGGGGGCAAGCGUUGUUCGGAAUUACUGGGCGUAAAGGGCUCGUAGGCGGCCAACUAAGUCGGAUGUGAAAUCCCCAGGCUCAACUUGGGAACUGCAUCCGAUACUGGAUGGCUUGAAUUCGGGAGAGGGAUGCAGAAUUCCAGGUGUAGCGGUGAAAUGCGCAGAUAUCAGGAGGAACACCAAUUGCGAAGGCAGCUCGCUGGACGUAACUGACGCUGAGACGGCGAAAGCGUGGGGAGCAAACAGG